rnacentral:rRNA from 1 species
CUACGGGAGGCACCAGUGGGGAAUAUUGGACAAUGGGAGAAAUCCUGAUCCAGCAAUUCUGUGUGCAUGAUGACGGUCUUCGGAUUGUAAAGUGCUUUCGACAGGGAAGAAUAAAUUGACGGUACCUGUAUAAGAAGCGACGGCUAAAUACGUGCCAGCAGCCGCGGUAAUACGUAUGUCGCAAGCGUUAUCCGGAAUCACUGGGCAUAAAGGGCGUCUAGGCGGUUUAAAAAGUCAGUGGUGAAAGGUAUGGGCUCAACCCGUGCAUUGCCAUUGAAACUCUUAGACUAGAGUAUGGGAGAGGAGGGCGGAACUACAAGAGUAGCGGUGAAAUGCGUAGAUAUUUGUAGGAAUGCCAAUGACGAAGGUAGCUCUCUGGACCAAUACUGACGCUAAAGCGCGAAAGCUAGGGUAGCAAACAGGAUUAGAUACCCCUGUAGUC